rnacentral:rRNA from 1 species
CGUGAGGGAAAGGUGAAAAGAACCCCGGGAGGGGAGUGAAAUAGUACCUGAAACCGUAUGUCUACAAGCAGUCGAAGCGAAAGCGACGGCGUGCCUAUUGAAGAAUGAACCAACGAGUUAUCUGCACUAGCGAGGUUAAGUGGAAGACACGGAGCCGCAGCGAAAGCGAGUCUUAAGAGGGCGCUAGUUAGUGUAGGUAGACCCGAAACCGCAGUGAUCUACCCAUGUCCAGGUUGAAGCGCAGGUAAAAUUGCGUGGAGGACCGAACCGGUGAGCGUUGAAAAGCUUUCGGAUGAGAUGUGGGUAGGGGUGAAAUUCCAAUCGAACGCGGAGAUAGCUGGUUCUCCCCGAAAUAGCUUUAGGGCUAGCCUGAGGUAGUAAGUAUAGGCGGUAGAGCACUGAUCGGGCUAGGGGCCGUAAAGGUUACCGAACCCUGUCAAACUCCGAAUGGAUAUACUGUAGAGCCUUGGAGUCAGACUACGAGUGAUAAGAUCCGUGGUCAAAAGGGAAACAGCCCAGACCACCAGCUAAGGUCCCCAAUGUCGUACUAAGUGGAAAAGGAUGUGGGGUUUCAUAAACAACCAGGAUGUUGGCUCAGAAGCAGCCACCAUUUAAAGAGUGCGUAAUAGCUCACUGGUCGAGAGACCCUGCGCCGAAGAUUCCCGGGGCUAAAGUACGAAACCGAAGCUGUGGCUGUAUACGUAAAGUAUACGGGGUAGGGGAGCGUUCCCAUAGGGUAGAAGUCGAACUGGAAGGUUCGGUGGACUUGUGGGAAGUGAGAAUGUUGGUAUGAGUAGCGAAAAGAAAGGUGAGAAUCCUUUCCACCGAAAGCAUAAGGAUUCCUGAGCAACGAUCGUCGUCUCAGGGUAAGUCGGGACCUAAUCCGAGGCAGAGAGCGUAGGAGAUGGACAACUGGUUGAUAUUCCAGUACCGGUAGUAAUUGUUUGAGCAAUGGAGUGACACAGAAGGGCAGGCAAGCAUGCGAAUGGAAGAGCAUGUGUAAGCGUGUAGGGUGGUGCAUAGGCAAAUCCGUGCACUGAAAGCCUGAGGCGUGAUGCGGAGUGAGCAGAGAUGCGAGCGAAGUUGUUGACCCCACACUGUCGAGAAAAGCUUCUAGUGAGAGAGCUACCGCCCGUACCGUAAACCGACACAGGUAUGCGGGGAGAGAAUCCUAAGGUGCGCGGGAGAACCCUCGUUAAGGAACUCGGCAAAAUGUACCCGUAACUUCGGGAUAAGGGUAGCCACUGUUGUGAAGUCCCAUGCGGAUGGAGCAUAGAGUGGUCGCAGAGAAGAGGCCCAAGCGACUGUUUACCAUAAACACAGGUGCCUGCUAAAGCGAAAGCUGACGUAUAGGUGCUGACACCUGCCCAGUGCCGGAAGGUUAAGGAAGGAUGUUCGGAUUAGUCCAAAGCAUUCGACUGAAGCCCCGGUGAACGGCGGCCGUAACUAUAACGGUCCUAAGGUAGCGAAAUUCCUUGUCGGGU